CAGAGGAAGACACUGUCUCAAAUGUGCCAGAGCAGCUGCUCCUGCCUCCUAUAGCUGUAAGACUCUCGGGGCAUCUGUGGCCACUCUCACUUUUCCUAGUCCAAGGGGACCCUCUCUGCAUCUUCUCUCCAGCAUCUGAGUUGUGUCGCUGGAGCCAAGGCUAGUCUGCUCCUCUGCUUGCCCCUAUACUGGCUGUGGAAUAACAUUAUUCUCUGGCUGUGUACAUGGGAGUUCCUGCUGGCCGCAGCAAUAGGAGUGCCCCGCCAGCAAGGACAACGAAGAAGGGCCAGGCUGCUUUUGGAAAGCAGCUUGUGAUCUUGGGCACCUCAGGUCCAGGCCUCAAAGGACAAGAGCAUCUGCACCCUACUCUCUCACUGCCCGUGUCUCCCACUGGAUUAGGAGCUGGGGGUGAUGGAGUCUCGCUCUGUCACCCAGGCUGAAGUGUAGUGGUG